UCCUGAGUAUCCCAUUCUACCCCUGCCGACCGACACGUUCCCCUCUCUCUCGCCCGACGCCACCCACCACUCGUUCCCCACCACUCGUCUCUCUCUCGCGCGCGACGCCGUCCUCUCCCCGUCGAUGUGCCCUCUCGCCGGCAUCUUGCUCCGCACCGUCGCCUAGCUCACCGCUCCCCAUGCAUCGCCGCCUAGCUCACCGCUCCCAACGCGUCACCCUCUCAAACUCCGGCAAUGCACUGCUGGGCGAGGAGUAGAUGCAGAAAGCUGCCAUUUUUAUGCGCCGGCAACGCGCUGGCGCUAGAUCUGAGUGCGUUGGCGCUCGAUCUGCUUCGUGGAGAGGCAUGAAGGAGGCGCUGAAGCGGAGCCGGCGCGGGCGUGAAGACGGCGGCAGUAGGAGCUGGAGCCCGAGCAGGUGGAGGUGGAGCCGCAUCUGGACCUUGUACUGUAUCAAGAUGGAUGGAGUAGAGAGCCUAGAGUAGGAAAGAGCCUUGGACCGUAGCCAUGGACAGCGCAUGACAGAGCCAUGGACAGUGCAACAUCACAAACUUCAUUCCUGUAGAGCCUGAUGCAGCGCAGCAUCACAACCUUGAUGGAAGGAGGCCAGGCCAUGAAGAGAAAAGCUCCUGCCCAUAUCGAUUCAAGAGGAGAGGAGGGCCAUGGAGGGAGAAGCCUGCUGCUGCAAUACCUACCUUGUCGUCCUCAUGGUGGGGUGUAGUUGAGGUCUGGGAGAUCCAUGUUCUCCAGGCAACUGAAAAGAACUUUCAAGAUUGUUUUAAAGAAGGGCUAUUGAAAAAAGAUGUGUGAGAGUAUUAGUGACUCUCAUGUGGGCAUGCUGCACUUUUCAGGUAGCAGAUGCAGAGGGAGUAAUGGGCGAGGAGAUGAACCUAGGCGAGCAAAAUUGAGAACUCUAGCUAAAGCAGCUCCUGCCCAGCGGCGAGGACUUCAGCGGCAGCAACACCUGUGCGUGGGGAGGAACAGCCCCUGGGCGCGCGCAGGCAGCAGCUCGCCUCCACCAGCGGGCGGCAGCAGAGCACCAGCUCGCCUCCACCAGUGGCCGGCAGUAGAGCAGCAGCUCGUCUCCACCAGCGGGCGGCAGCAGAGCACCACCUGGGCGCGCGCGGGCCAGGAGGAGCCCCUGGCGUGGGAGAGGAGGAGCCCGGGGGUGAAGAUGGAGGUGGAGGGCGGGGGUGGAGGUGGAGGUGGAGGGUGGGUGGCGGAGCCGCGGAGGCGGAGGUGGAGCGCCGGGGCGGAGGCAGAGGUGGAAGACGCUGAGGAAGAAGACGGACUGAUUCAAAGUUUGAACUGGGGGCAUAAAGGUCCAUUUGCCCAUUUUCACCUGGUCGGAACAUAUUCCCCAGCGACAUACAUUUCGGAACAGAGGGAGUAUUUAAGAAGAUUCUCCCACCCUCAAUCACUCCUUCCUCUUGAAUGAGAGAAAAAAAAUAUUCUUUCUUUUUCUCCCAUUGGCUUUAGCAUGAUAAUAUCUGGCAUUGCUAUCUCCAUCUUUAAUUUCCUUAUAUUUUUAUACCUUUGAAGCCAUUUCAGUUCCUCUUAUUUAAGGAGUCUGUUCAGCUGAGCUAUAAGCUCUUUUUGUUCAUUUCUAUCAUGAGCUGAAAGUCCAAAUAUCUCAACAUUUUUUGUCAUUGACAUCUAACUUUGAAAGAAUAGUUUUCUUUAGUUUUCUAUACCAAUAUACCAUGCAUCUGAAUUUAAGAUACAACCUCUUACUUUU